rnacentral:rRNA from 1 species
UUUGGAAGCGGUCCAAGUUCCUUGGAACAGGACGUCACAGAGGGUGAGAAUCCCGUACGUGGUCGCUAGCUAUUGGCGUGUAAAGCCCCUUCGACGAGUCGAGUUGUUUGGGAAUGCAGGUCUAAAUGGGAGGUAAAUUUCUUCUAAAGCUAAAUAUUGGCCAGAGACCGAUAGCGCACAAGUAGAGUGAUCGAAAGAUGAAAAGCACUUUGGAAAGAGAGUCAAACAGCANGUGAAAUUGUUGAAAGGGAAGCGCUUGCAGCCAGACUUGCUUGCAGUUGCUCAUCCGGGCUUUUGCCCGGUGCACUCUUCUGGAGGCAGGCCAGCAUCAGUUUGGGGGGUGGGAUAAAGGUCUCUGUCACGUACCUCUCUUCGGGGAGGCCUUAUAGGGGAGGCGACAUACCACCAGCCUGGACUGAG